UAUUGCACAAUGGGGGAAACCCUGAUGCAGCGACGCCGCGUGAAGGAAGAAGUAUUUCGGUAUGUAAAGCUCUAUCGGCAGGGAAGAAAUAGCGACCUUUGGGUCGCCAGACGGUACCUCAUUAAGAAGCUCCGGCUAACUACGUGACAGCAGCCGCGGUAAUACGUAGGGGGCAAGCGUUAUCCGGAUUUACUGGGUGUAAAGGGAGCGUAGACGGCAGCACAAGUCUGAAGUGAAAUGCCGGGGCUUAACCCCGGAACUGCUUUGGAAACUGUGCAGCUAGAGUGCAGGAGAGGUAAGUGGAAUUCCUAGUGUAGCGGUGAAAUGCGUAGAUAUUAGGAGGAACACCAGUGGCGAAGGCGGCUUACUGGACUGUAACUGACGUUGAGGCUCGAAAGCGUGGGGAGCAAACAGG
rnacentral:rRNA from 1 species